GACAGAGGGUGCAAACGUUGUUCGGAAUUACUGGGCGUAAAGCGCGUGUAGGCUGCUCGGAAAGUCGGAUGUGAAAGCCCUGGGCUCAACCUAGGAAGUGCAUUCGAAACUUCCGAGCUGGAGUGCUGGAGAGGAAGGCGGAAUUCUCGGUGUAGAGGUGAAAUUCGUAGAUAUCGAGAGGAACACCGGUGGCGAAGGCGGCCUUCUGGACAGCGACUGACGCUGAGACGCGAAAGCGUAGGGAGCAAACAGG
rnacentral:rRNA from 1 species